rnacentral:rRNA from 1 species
AGGACGAACGCUGGCGGCGUGCUUAACACAUGCAAGCCAAGGGGGCCCAGCAAUGGGCAACCGGCGAACGGGUGCGUAACACGUGAGCAACCUACCGAAAUGUGGGGGAUAGCCGGCCUAACGGCCGAGUAAUACCGCAUACGCUCUCGAUGAGGCAUUUCAUUGAGAGGAAACCUACGGGACAUUUCGAGGGGCUCGCGGCCUAUCAGCUAGUUGGCGAGGUAACGGCUCACCAAGGCAACGACGGGUA